rnacentral:rRNA from 1 species
CAGUCGCCGCGGUAAAACGUAGGUGGCAAGCGUUGUCCGGAAUUAUUGGGCGUAAAGGGCUCGCAGGCGGCUUCUUAAGUCUGAUGUGAAAGCCCCCGGCUCAACCGGGGAGGGUCAUUGGAAACUGGGAAACUUGAGUGCAGAAGAGGAGAGUGGAAUUCCACGUGUAGCGGUGAAAUGCGUAGAGAUGUGGAGGAACACCAGUGGCGAAGGCGACUCUCUGGUCUGUAACUGACGCUGAGGAGCGAAAGCGUGGGGAGCGAACAGGAUUAGAUACCCCUGUAGUCCCUGUCUCUUAUAC